UUGAGGUCUUGAGCUCCAGCCCUAACUGAGGAUGCAAGCGCUACCGCGGAAGGAAGGGUUGAGAUUGGAAGUGCAGUGCAAAGGGCUGGAGCCAGCAGGAGCAGGGCAGUGAUCAUCCGCCUGUGCUCAGCGCCGUUGGCUGAAGAGAGGUGAUGUCGAGGUGGGGUCGUCCUCUUCUCCCGUGUAAGCAGUGAUAGACUGGAGGGAAGGCCUCAAGUGGCACGAGGGGAGAUUCAGGUCGGAUGUGAAGAAAAACGUCUCCACAGGAGCGGUCAGACGCUGGAACGGGCUGCCCAGGGAGGUGAUAUUGUUACUGUCCUUGCAGCCACCAGAGCUCUCCCUCAUGCUCUUCCCUAUGACGUGAGACCGCGUCGAAGGCCUUGCAGACGUCUGGGUAGGUGAAGUCAGUU